rnacentral:rRNA from 1 species
UAAUACGUAGGGGGCGAGCGUUGUCCGGAAUCAUUGGGCGUAAAGCGCGCGCAGGCGGUCCCUUAAGUCUGAUGUGAAAUCUUGCGGCUCAACCGCAAGGGGUCAUUGGAAACUGGGGGACUUGAGUGCAGGAGAGGGAAGCGGAAUUCCAUGUGUAGCGGUGAAAUGCGUAGAGAUAUGGAGGAACACCAGUGGCGAAGGCGGCUUCCUGGCCUGUAACUGACGCUCAGGCGCGAAAGCGUGGGGAGCAAACAGG